CUACUUGCUUCGACAGUACAAAUACUAAAAUUGGAACGAUACAGAGAAGAUUAACAUGGCCCCUGCUAAAGGAUGACACGCAAAAUCGUGAAGCGCUCCACAUGUUU